rnacentral:rRNA from 1 species
UACGAAGGGGGCUAGCGUUGUUCGGAAUUACUGGGCGUAAAGGGUUUGUAGGCGGUUGGACAAGUCAGAGGUGAAAGCCCAGAGCUUAACUCUGGAAUUGCCAUUGAAACUGUUCAGCUUGAGAGUGUUAGAGGAAAGUGGAAUUCCUAGUGUAGGAGUGAAAUCCGUAGAGAUUAGGAGGAAUAUCGAUGGCGAAGGCAGCUUUCUGGGACAUUUCUGACGCUGAGAAACGAAAGCGUGGGUAGCAAACAGG